rnacentral:rRNA from 1 species
UUAACCUACGGGACGCAGCAGUGAGGAAUAUUGGUCAAUGGGCGGGAGCCUGAACCAGCCAAGUCGCGUGAAGGAAGAAGGUACUUAGUAUUGUAAACUUCUUUUGUCGGGGAACAAAGGCGGAGACGCGUCUCCGGAUGAGUGUACCCGAAGAAAAAGCAUCGGCUAACUCCGUGCCAGCAGCCGCGGUAAUACGGAGGAUGCGAGCGUUAUCCGGAUUUAUUGGGUUUAAAGGGUGCGCAGGCGGGAGAUCAAGUUAGCGGUAAAAUGUAGGGGCUCAACCCCGGCUGGGCGUUGGAAAUGGU